rnacentral:rRNA from 1 species
UACAGAGGGUGCAAGCGUUAAUCGGAGUUACUGGGCGUAAAGGGCGCGUAGGCGGUAAGAUGUGUGUGAUGUGAAAGCCCCGGGCUUAACCUGGGAAGUGCAUCGCAAACUAUCUAACUGGAGUAUAUGAGAGGGUGGCGGAAUUUCCGGUGUAGCGGUGAAAUGCGUAGAGAUCGGAAGGAACGUCAAUGGCGAAGGCAGCCACCUGGCAUAAUACUGACGCUGAGGCGCGAAAGCGUGGGGAGCGAACAGGAUUAGAAACCCCAGUAGUCC